AACGAACGCUAUCGGUAUGCUUAACACAUGCAAGUCGGACGGACUAAUUAGGGCUUGCUCCAAUUAGUUAGUGGCAGACGGGUGAGUAACACGUGGGAAUCUGCCCAUCAGUACGGAAUAACUUUUAGAAAUAAAAGCUAAUACCGUAUAUUCUCUACAGAGGAAAGAUUUAUCGCUGAUGGAUGAGCCCGCGUCAGAUUAGGUAGUUGGUGAGGUAACGGCUCACCAAGCCGACGAUCUGUAGCUGGUCUGAGAGGAUGAUCAGCCACACUGGGACUGAGACACGGCCCAGACUCCUACGGGAGGCAGCAGUGGGGAAUAUUGGACAAUGGGCGAAAGCCUGAUCCAGCAAUACCGAGUGAGUGAUAAAGGCCCUAGGGUUGUAAAGCUCUUUUAGCAAGGAAGAUAAUGACGUUACUUGCGGAAAAAGCCCCGGCUAACUCCGUG
rnacentral:rRNA from 1 species